rnacentral:rRNA from 1 species
AGCAGCCGCGGUAAUUCCAGCUCCAAUAGCGUAUAUUAAAGUUGUUGCAGUUAAAAAGCUCGUAGUUGAAUUUCGGGAUUGGCGCAUCGGUCGUGCCUCACGGGGUAUGAACUGGUGCAGUCAAUUUCUCACCUUCUGGAGAACCGCGAUGCCCUUAAUUGGAUGCCGCGGGGAACCAGGACCUUUACUUUGAAAAAAUUAGAGUGUUUAAAGCAGGCAUUUUUGCUUGAAUACAUUAGCAUGGAAUAAUAAAAUAGGACGGCAUGGUUCUAUUUUGUUGGUUUCUAGGACCACCGUAAUGAUUAAUAGGGAUAGUUGGGGGCAUUAGUAUUCAAUUGUCAGAGGUGAAAUUCUUGGAUUUAUUGAAGACUAACUACUGCGAAAGCAUUUGCCAAGGAUGUUUUCAUUAAUCAAGAACGAAAGUUAGGGGAUCGAAGACGAUCAGAUACCGUCGUAGUCUUAACCAUAAACUAUGCCGACUAGGAAUCAGACGAUGUUAAUUUUUUAAUGACUCGUUUGGCACCUUACG